UGAUCUCGAUUUGUAUGCUUU
rnacentral:siRNA from 1 species